rnacentral:rRNA from 1 species
GGGGGGGGCAAGCGUUGUUCGGAAUUACUGGGCGUAAAGGGCUCGUGGGCGGCCAACUAAGUCAGACGUGAAAUCCCUCGGCUUAACCGGGGAACUGCGUCUGAUACUGGAUGGCUCGAGUUUGGGAGAGGGAUGCGGAAUUCCAGGUGUAGCGGUGAAAUGCGUAGAUAUCUGGAGGAACACCGGUGGCGAAGGCGGCAUCCUGGACCAACACUGACGCUGAGGAGCGAAAGCCAGGGGAGCAAACGGGAUUAGAUACCCCGGUAGUCCUGGCCCUAAACGAUGAAUGCUUGGUGUGACGGGUAUCGAUCCCUGUCGUGCCGAAGCUAACGCAUUAAGCAUUCCGCCUGGGGAGUACGGUCGCAAGGCUG